ACGGGAGGCAGCAGUGGGGAAUAUUGCACAAUGGGCGAAAGCCUGAUGCAGCGACGCCGCGUGAGCGAAGAAGUAUUUCGGUAUGUAAAGCUCUAUCAGUAGGGAAGAUAAUGACGGUACCUGACUAAGAAGCCCCGGCUAACUACGUGCCAGCAGCCGCGGUAAUACGUAGGGGGCAAGCGUUAUCCGGAUUUACUGGGUGUAAAGGGAGCGUAGACGGUCUGGCAAGUCUGAUGUGAAAGGCAGGGGCUCAACUCCUGGACUGCAUUGGAAACUGUCAGUCUUGAGUGUCGGAGAGGUAAGCGGAAUUCCUAGUGUAGCGGUGAAAUGCGUAGAUAUUAGGAGGAACAUCAGUGGCGAAGGCGGCUUACUGGGCUUUAACUGACGCUGAGGCUCGAAAGCGUGGGGAGCAAACAGGAUUAGAUACCCUGGUA
rnacentral:rRNA from 1 species